GAUGAACGCUAGCGGCAGGCCUAAUACAUGCAAGUCGAACGGGAUCCAGAUCAAAGCUUGCUUUGGUCUGGUGAGAGUGGCGCACGGGUGCGUAACGCGUGAGCAACCUACCCUUGUCAGGGGGAUAGCCCGGCGAAAGUCGGAUUUAUACCGCAUGACAUCAUUGAGAGGCAUCUUUCGAUGAUCAAAGAUUUAUCGGACAAGGAUGGGCUCGCGGGACAUUAGCUAGUUGGUAAGGUAACGGCUUACCAAGGCUGCGAUGUCUAGGGGCUCUGAGAGGAGAAUCCCCGACACGGGUACUGAGACACGGACCAGACUCCUACGGGAGGCAGCAGUAAGGAAGAGUGGUCAAUGGACGGAAGUCUGAACCAGCCAUGCCGCGUGCAGGAAGACGGCGCUGUGGGUGGUAACCUGCUUUUAUACGGGAACAAACGUCGGUACGUGUACCGGUCUGAGUGUACCGGAAGAAUAAGGAUCGGCUAACUCCGUG
rnacentral:rRNA from 1 species